rnacentral:rRNA from 1 species
GAUGAACGCUCGCGGCAGGCCUAACACAUGCAAGUCGAGGGAGAGGUUACCUUCGGGUAACCAAAACCGGCGCACGGGUGCGUAACGCGUAUACAAUCUGCCUUUCACAUAGGGAUAGCCCGAAGAAAUUUGGAUUAAUACCUAAUGGUAUAUAAGAGCGGCAUCGUUUUUAUAUUAAAGCUACGGUGGUGAAAGAUGAGUAUGCGUUCUAUUAGCUAGUUGGAGAGGUAACGGCUCCCCAAGGCGACGAUAGAUAGGGGUUCUGAGAGGGAUGUCCCCCACACUGGUACUGAGAUACGGACCAGACUCCUACGGGAGGCAGCAGUGAGGAAUAUUGGACAAUGGUCGGAAGACUGAUCCAGCCAUGCCGCGUGCAGGAUGAAGGUCCUAUGGAUUGUAAACUGCUUUUGUAAGGGAAGAAUAAGGAGUACGUGUACUUUGAUGACGGUACCUUACGAAUAAGCAUCGGCUAACUCCGUG